AGAGUUUGAUCCUGGCUCAGAACGAACGCUGGCGGAGUGUUUAAUACAUGCAAGUCGUGCGAGAAAUCGGUCUUCGGACUGAGAGUAGAGCGGCGAACGGGUGAGUAACACGUAAGUUACCUGCCUCUAAGUUUGGGAUAACCUUGCUAACGCGGGGCUAAUACCGGAUGUGGUCCUUCGGGAUUAAAGAUGACCUCUCCUUGGAAGUUAUUGCUUAGAGAUGGGCUUGCGGCCUAUUAGUUUGUUGGUGGGGUAAAGGCCUACCAAGACUACGAUAGGUAGCCGACCUUAGCGGGUGAUCGGCCACAUUGGGACUGAGAUACGGCCCAGACUCCUACGGGAGGCAGCAGUAGGGAAUCUUGCGCAAUGGACGAAAGUCUGACGCAGCAACUCCGCGUGAGGGAUGAAUGCCUUAGGGUUGUAAACCUCUGUUGAUAGGGAAGAAAUGCAUAUGGGGUAAUAUUCCAUAUGUUUGACGGUACCUGUCCAGAAAGCUCCGGCUAACUACGUGUCAGCAGCCGCGGUAAUACGUAGGGAGCUAGCGUUGUUCGGAUUUACUGGGCAUAAAGAGAACGUAGGCGGGUUAGUAAGUUAGGAGUAUAAUGUAUCGGCUCAACCGAUAUUUUGCUUUUAAUACUGCUGAUCUUGAGUGUGUUAGAGGCAGGCGGAAUUCCGAGUGUAGCGGUGGAAUGCGUAGAUAUUCGGAAGAACACCGGUGGCGAAGGCGGCCUGCUGGGACAAUACUGACGCUGAGGUUCUAAAGCCAGGGGAGCGAAGAGGAUUAGAUACCCUUGUAGUCCUGGCCGUAAACGAUGUACACUAGAUGUCGGGUUUAUUCGGUAUCGUAGCUAAUGCGUUAAGUGUACCGCCUGGGGAGUACGUUCGCAAGAAUGAAACUCAAAGGAAUUGACGGGGGUCCACACAAGCGGUGGAGCAUGUGCUUUAAUUCGAUGCAACGCGAAGAACCUUACCCGGUCUUGACAUACCAUUGCCCGAUCUAGAGAUAGAUCUUUUUCUUCGGAAACGAUGGAUACAGGUGCUGCAUGGUUGUCGUCAGUUCGUGUCGUGAGAUGUUGGGUUAAGUCCCGCAACGAGCGCAACCCUUAUCCUUAGUUGCCAGCGCGUAAUGGCGGGAACUCUAGGGAGACUGCCCGGUUUAACCGGGAGGAAGGCGGGGAUGACGUCAAAUCAUCAUGGCCCUUACGACCGGGGCCAGACACGUGCUACAAUGGACAGUACAGAGGGUUGCGAAGCCGCGAGGUGGAGCUAAUCUCAGAAAGCUGUUCUCAGUUCGGAUAGGAGUCUGCAAUUCGACUCCUUGAAGUUGGAAUCGCUAGUAAUCGCGGAUCAGCAUGCCGCGGUGAAUAUGCUCCUGGACCUUGUACACACCGCCCGUCAAGCCACGGAAGAUGGUAGUGCCCAACGUCGAUUAUCCAACC
rnacentral:rRNA from 1 species